CUAGAAAUAUUUUCAAGGUUCUGACUUGUAAUACUCAAAACAGGCUAAACAUUCUAUAGAAUAAGACCAUGCAUAUGUCCCCAGACCUAGUUCUUUACCUAGGUCUGCUAUUAUAAAAUCUUGGGAUAAAU